UACGAGUGCCUCAAGCGUUAUCCGGAAUCAUUGGGCGUAAAGGAUGUGUAGGUGGUCGCAUUAGUCUCUCGUUAAAACCCCGGGCUUAACCCGGGUCCUGCGGGAGAAACGGUGCGACUAGAGGAUGCAAGGGGUCUGCGGAACUCAUAGUGUAGCGGUGAAAUGCGUAGAUAUGCGGAGGAACACCGAUGGCGAAGGCAAUCCCCUGGGCCUGCACUGACGCUCAUGCACGAAAGCGUGGGGAGCAAACAGG
rnacentral:rRNA from 1 species